ACCAGUCCUAGCCCACUUAACCCCCAACUACAUCUACGAUACAUUUACUAAAACAAAACAUUUACCUCCAUAAAAGUAUAGGUGAUAGAAAUUUUACAUUGGAGCCAUAGAGCUAGUACCGCAAGGGAAAGAUGAAAGAAACAACUUAUAGUAUAACAAAGCAAAGACUAACCCUUUUACCUUUUGCAUAAUGAAUCAACAAGACACUACUUCGCAAAAAGAAUUUAAGCCAAGAAUCCCGAAACCAGACGAGCUACUUAUGGGCAGCUGUGAGAGCCAAUCCGUCUAUGUAGCAAAAUAGUGGAGAGACCUAUGAGUAGUGGUGAAAAGCCUACCGAGCCUGGUGAUAGCUGGUUAUCCAGACAUGAAUCUUAGUUCAACUUUAAAUUUACUUCAAGAACCUCUAAUCCAAACGUAAAUUUAAUUGUUACUCUAAAGAGGGACAGCUCUUUAGACAUAGGAAAAAACCUUUAUUAGAGAGUAAACCAAACAGAUAUCAUAGUUGGCUUAAAAGCAGCCAUCAAUUAAAAAAGCGUUCAAGCUUAACCAAACUAACUUAACUUAAUCUAAAUAUCUACAAUCACCUCCUAAUUCAACACUGGAUUAAUCUAUAAACAACUAUAGAAGCAAUAAUGUUAGUAUGAGUAACAAGAAAAAUAUUUCUCCCUGCAUAAGUUUAUAUCAGCCUGAAUAAAUCACUGAUAGUUAACAAAUCUAUAAUUCCACCCAUCAUUAUCAACCCUUAUAUUUUAUAAUGUUAAUCCAACACCGGCAUGCACUUCAAGGGAAAGAUUAAAAAAAGUAAAAGGAACUCGGCAAACACUAACCCCGCCUGUUUACCAAAAACAUCACCUCUAGCAUAACUAGUAUUAGAGGCACUGCCUGCCCAGUGACACACGUUAAACGGCCGCGGUAUCCUGACCGUGCAAAGGUAGCAUAAUCACUUGUUCCUUAAAUAGGGACUUGCAUGAAUGGCCAAACGAGGGUUAAUCUGUCUCUUACUUUUAAUCAGUGAAAUUGACCUUCCCGUGAAGAGGCGGGAAUAAGCAAAUAAGACGAGAAGACCCUAUGGAGCUUAAAUUUAUUAACUCAAGUAAUUACCCAUAAAAAUCUACAAGAUACAACUUCCUUACUCAUGAGCUAAAAAUUUUGGUUGGGGUGACCUCGGAGUAUAAAUUAACCUCCGAAUGAUUAUAAUUUAGACUAACCCGUCUAAAUCCACGUUCAUUAAUUGACCCAAACUUUUGAUCAACGGAACAAGUUACCCUAGGGAUAACAGCGCAAUCCUACUCAAGAGUCCAUAUCGACAGUAGGGUUUACGACCUCGAUGUUGGAUCAGGACACCCAAAUGGUGCAGCCGCUAUUAACGGUUCGUUUGUUCAACGAUUAAAGUCCUACGUGAUCUGAGUUCAGACCGGAGCAAUCCAGGUCGGUUUCUAUCUAUUACAAACUUCUCCCAGUACGAAAGGACAAGAGAAAUGAGGCCAAUUCUUAUAAUAUGCCUUAUAGAUAAUAGAUGAUAUAAUCUCAAUCUAAUUAACUACUCACAUACCUACCCUAGAACAGGGUUU
rnacentral:rRNA from 1 species